rnacentral:rRNA from 1 species
CCCUACGGGGUGCAGCAGGGAACUUGAAAAAGGCUGAUGCGCACCGCGGAGAAAAUUGAAAUAACCGGAAUUGACUAUCUCCCGAUAAGGCUGCAAGACCGGCUGGAUGAAAAGCUCAGUUAGGGCUACCUCCAGACGUGGCGCUCCACGUUCGCCCAAAAUUUCCCACAGACGACCGUAAUCAUGGUUUUUAUCGGUUUUGACAACACGAAAAUCAUGGAAAACAUGGUAUUCGUACCCACUUAAGUGGAGAUGCAGGCCGUUUUCCCAGAAUUGAUUCAACGGACGGAUGAAUUGGAGACCGGUGGAUUGAUCGCUGAAAAGUACAAAUUUCUUCUCCCCGUGUCCCAAUCCGAGCGCAGAAGCCAACUCAGACCUGACCGUCGUUUUUCCCUUCCCAUGGUUUUGGAGGCGGGGGGGC